rnacentral:ncRNA from 12 species
CAGGCCGGGGGUCUGGGGGUUGAAAGUCCAGGCCAGCUAUGGGCAAAAGGACCCACGUAAGCGCGGAGCAAGAGGCACGCGUGAUCAUGGCAUAGCUUAGAAGUAAGUCCUCGGGAAAAUCCCGGCAAAGGCAAGUGUGGGGGCAAAGACCCGGUCAGCCCGGCCUG